rnacentral:misc_RNA from 1 species
AUUUGGUUAAACAUACAACUUAGUCCCUUUAGUUUUAAAACCAAGCAAUUUAGCUCUUAACAUUUUAACAAACCUACAAGUUAGUCCCUGCCUAGAAUCACCGUUAAUUCUCUAUUAAAUUAAGCAAAAAUGAUCAAAAUGCUUUUAACUUUAUUUUCAACCGGAAAAAAAAUUUAGUCCCUGAAGUUCUAUUUUACUAACAAUUUGUAUUCAGAU